CCGUCACACCAUGAGAGUUGGAAAUACCCGAAGCCUGUGAGCUAACUUAAAGAGGCAGCAGUCGAAGGUAGAGCCAAUGAUUGGGGUGAAGUCGUAACAAGGUAUC
rnacentral:rRNA from 1 species